UAGCCAUUCUAGUGAUUGAAAUAAGUUUCAUAAAAAUUCUGUGAGGUAGGUAUUACCAAAAGCCCCAUUCUACAGACAUCGAAACUGAGGCUAGAAGGGAAGCCACAUAGCCCACCCAGAUCACACAGAAUGUGAAGAGCAAGUGGGCAGCAGCGGAUCUAUAUGAUUCCUGUGCACCCUGGCUGUAUGAGAUUUUGUCAGAAAAUUUGGGUGUGCCAAAAUGAUAGGUCUCUUUUUUACAUAUAAUUUUAUUUAUUUAUUUAUUUUUGGCUGCGCUGGGUCUUUGUUGCUGCUCUGGAUUUUCUCUAGUUGUGGCGAAUGGGGGCUACUCUCUAGUUUUAGUGUGUGGGUUCCUCAUUGAAGUGACUUUUUUGUGGAGCAUGGGCUCUAGGCCACUCUGGCUUCAGUAAUUGUGGCUAAUGAGCUCAGUAGUUGCGGCUCUCGGGCUCUAGAGCACAGGCCUAAUAGUUGUGGUGCAUGGGCUUUUUUGUUCUGCAGCAUGUGGCAUCUUCCUGUACCAGGGAUUGAACCCACGUCUCCUGCAUUGGCAAGAGAAUUCUUUGCCACUGAGCCACCAGGGAAGGCUGAUGGCUCUCAUUACUUUCUAUAGUACCUACUUCCAUUUGACAGCAAAAAUAUAACCUGUUCAUUUCAGACGGUUGUAUGAUCAUUCAGUCAUUUCAGGGGUGUGCUCAGUCAAGUUGAGGGUUUUGUCCCUCUUCUUCUAUCCAGGGUCACAACUAUAUCCUGAGCUUAUGUGAUCAUGGCAUGGAGUGGGAGUUGAGGGGGCUGGAGAUUGCCUGGUCCUUGGUCAACAUCCAUCUUCAACUGCUCAUCGAGGCAGGUAGACUUGACCUCUACUAGCUGUGAACUGUCAUCCUUGAUUUCUACUGUGCCCACAGAUGUCUAUGUUUGUCCAUGGUCUCUGGCUUGGAUUGUCCAGAUUCUUCUACGUUCAUUUGGUUCUGUUUAUUACAUCCCACAACCUACUGUCUGCCUAUCUAGGCCCUCUUUGAGCAACUUACAGACCAAGCACAGAUUCUCUUCACUCUCAGAGCUCCCAAAACUUUUUGGGGGGUCCUAUUCUCCCCUUAUCCCUGGGUAGAGGGGAUUGGGGGGGGAAAUGAGAGAGUCUCUUCUCAGAGACCCACCCCAGUAGCUAACUGUAAUGCUCUCUUUGAUAUAAUUUUUCCCCACCCCCAUUCUUUUGGAAAACUGACUCUGGUAUUAUCAUACCUUCUUCCUGACUCUGCUAUUGCUGAUGUAAAAUAUGAGUCCUUCAGCCUCUUGGAUUUUCACUGCUCUAAAAGAAUUUUCUUGCUCUAAACAGCUUUGGGUUUCAAGAGUCCAUUUUGCAAAUCAAGAUCCAAGAAUUUCACUCUUUUUUUCUUUGCAUUCAGCACUCUCUCCACAGGAGUAAUAAGGAAGUCUUAUUUUAGGUGAUUUUAGAUGGAAGACUUAAGAGUUUGACAACAGGGAA
ensembl:lncRNA